rnacentral:lncRNA from 1 species
AGCUAACGUCAAGGCUGUCUGCACUGGCUCUCCCUGCCAGCUGCCUCCUCGCUGCCAGAAGGGGCUGCUUCUCCAGGCACAUAACAGCAAAUCCUUGGGCAACUUCUUGGGACGUUCUCUUGAUGGCCUGGUGAGUGCUGGAUUUGAAGGCUGGAACACCAUCAGAUGCCAGCAGUGAGUCACAAGCAGCCUGUGGGGCUUUGCACAUGUGUGCAGUGAAGUGCAGGCUGUGGUGGGGAUGACACAUUGAGUGAAGUGCAAAACCAGGGCUGGUUUUUGUCAGGAAUAUGGUGGAUUUCUUGCCACUUUUUGGGUGACCUCCUAAUCUGCAAGCAGAGGCCAUGAAGGGGAAGGAGUUGCACAUGGCUGCUUAGCCAACAGCAGACACCGUGCUGGAGGAGGGUGGGCAUCAGCCAGCCAAGAGGGUUCCCGUGUUUGCUUGUCACCCUUAUCCUUCUUUCACACAGGCAUUGAAGUCUGCUGGCAGUCUGUGAGCUGCAGCCAGUGUCUGGCAUGCUUCCAGCCUGGACAAGUCUUGGGGAGCUGAGAACCAGCACAGCAUGUAAAUGCUGUGCUAUCCCAGCGUUGGGAAUGCAGCUGAGGUCCUUGGAAAGGUCAGCUGUGGCAGCCCCACAUGUGGUAAGGAGCUGGGCUCUGGGCUGUCCCUCAGGAGCACAGAGUGCCUUUUGCAACCCUAGUCUCAAAGAGUGAUGAAGGGUGGAUGAUCACCACCAGACCCCUGGAUGAGAAGAACUGUUGGCAGAACAGGCAGCAGCCCCUCCCCACUGAUGGCUGCACUCUUUCAAGGUUUUCCUGGGAGAGGCUUCGGGGGACGGCAGAUGGACACAACACAGGAUAACAAGGUGUGCCACAGGCAAUCUCACCUCCCAAGAUGGUGCAUCAGUGCCACCCAUGACAGCGCUUGCUCUUCAGCAGAGAGAGUACUGACCUUGUCCUGCUGCAAUGAUUGAGAGGGAGCUUCAAAUUUUGAUACAGUAACUCCAGCAUAGCCCUUAGCUACUCUACUCCCACCC